rnacentral:misc_RNA from 1 species
GCCGCCGCCUGUCGCCAGAAGAAUCUCAGUUUCUCUCUCAGACGCCCUAAAAAUCCCACACGCACCCUAUCACUUUCCAUCAUCAAUCAUCAUCCCCUCGGAACCCUCUCUUUGAUCUUGUUCAACUUUUCUUCUUCGCCCUCUCUCGCUCUCUCGGAAGUCCUUCGACUGUUUCUAGGGAUAAGCUUCAGGACUUCUUUUCUAUUAUUCCUUGAAAUCUGUAUCCUCCUACUACACCGAUGGCUACU